rnacentral:lncRNA from 1 species
AGGGUGUAUGGGUGGGCGGGGGAGGCAGUUUGGGUUGACAGAGCUCAGACUAUAGGAGCAGCAAAGGCCUUGACAGAAGACUGGAUACUUUCCAGAGGUCAUCUGAUCUGUCACAAUGAAGGCAGCCCAGACUUCUUUUACUUACCUCCUUACUGGUUCUUCAUAUUCCCUUGGCCUUCCUCCUGCCAUGCCUGCCACCCAGCUUGGGACUCAGUUCUCAUCUCCCCAGACAUCUCCGAGGCAACAGAGACAACUUGGAAUAGGGGUGAGGGUGGUGUUUUAGGAGGCAGAGAGGAAGAGAGGGCAUUGGGCAGCUUCUUCUGCGUCCCUCUGGCCCCAGUUCCCUGAACCCAAAGUCCAGCGUUGUGGAGACCAGAGAAUGAAGAUAUAGAACAUUAACGUAUGUCAAAUAUAAGUGAGUGGCACUGAGGGGCAUAAUCUGUUUUUCUAAUAUGACCACAAGCAGAGUGUUAGAAGAAUUAGGCCGACAGCUGCUGUGUUUUUUUUUCCCUUUCUCUCUCUCGCUCUCUCACUCUCCCUUCCUCCUCGGCGUUUGCACACACCAAUGGCAGCAGAGCCCUGCUCGCGAUUUCUCUUAAUCUUCCUCCUCCAUCCUGCGCUCUUUCCGCAGGCGGUGCUGCGAAGCCGGCAGAGCCCAGCGUCACACCUUACUGCUCCUCAAGAUUGCUCCACAGAGAGCUGAGGGAGAUGGCAAUUCGGCGCUGACGCCGGCUGGCAGCAGUUGGGAGGGGGGAAAGAGUAGGAGAGAAGGAGGGAGGGAAGGGGGAAGAAAGUUGGCACAGAUACCAAGUUUUUCCCUAGAGAGAGAUGGGGGGGUGGAAGAGAGAGAAAAAGGGAGGGAGAAAAGGAAUGAAGAAAGAGAGAGGGAGGGAGGGGGAGAGAGAGAGAGAUGAUGAUGAAAGUUCUUUCUUGAUCUCUUACACACAAAUGCAUGCAAUCACCCCCCCUCCCCCCUCCGACCCCAGGCUCCCUCAACAAUGACUCUCCAUAGACCAAACUCUCUCAGGGUUCCACCCAAUCCCCUGCCAGGUGCCUGUACACCCUCCCACAUUCCCAAUCACCCUGGAGUCUAGACUGACUCACACAUGUGUGUGCCUGUACGUGUGUGUGUGCAUGCUCGUGUGUGUGUGCAUGCUCGUGUGUGCAU